rnacentral:rRNA from 1 species
UCUGCCGUGAAAUCNUCUGGCUUAACUGGGGGCGUGCGGUGGGUACGGGCUGACUUGAGUGCGGUAGGGGAGACUGGAACUCCUGGUGUAGCGGUGGAAUGCGCAGAUAUCAGGAAGANCACCGGUGGCGAAGGCGGGUCUCUGGGCCGUUACUGACGCUGAGGAGCGAAAGCGUGGGGAGCGAACAGGAUUAGAUACCCUGGUAGUCCACGCUGUAAACGUUGGGCACUAGGUGUGGGGGCCACCCGUGGUUUCUGCGCCGUAGCUAACGCUUUAAGUGCCCCGCCUGGGGAGUACGGCCGCAAGGCUAAAACUCAAAGGAAUUGACGGGGGCCCGCACAAGCGGCGGAGCAUGCGGAUUAAUUCGAUGCAACGCGAAGAACCUUACCAAGGCUUGACAUGCACGGCGGCACUGCAGAGAUGUGGUGGCAUUUAGUUGGUCGUGUGCAGGUGGUGCAUGGUUGUCGUCAGCUCGUGUCGUGAGAUGUUGGGUUAAGUCCCGCAACGAGCGCAACCCUUGCCCUAUGUUGCCAGCACGUGAUGGUGGGGACUCGUGGGGGACUGCCGGGGUUAACUCGGAGGAAGGUGGGGAUGACGUCAAAUCAUCAUGCCCCUUAUGUCUUGGGCUUCACGCAUGCUACAAUGGCUGGUACAGAGGGUUGCGAUAUCGUGAGGUGGAGCGAAUCCCUUAAAGCCAGUCUCAGUUCGGAUUGGGGUCUGCAACUCGACCCCAUGAAGGUGGAGUCGCUAGUAAUCGCAGAUCAGCAACGCUGCGGUGAAUACGUUCUCGGGCCUUGUACACACCGCCCGUCACGUCACGAAAGUUGGUAACACCCGAAGCCCAU